UGUAGUCAUAUGCUUGUCUCAAAGAUUAAGCCAUGCAUGUCUAAGUAUAAGCAAUUAUACAGCGAAACUGCGAAUGGCUCAUUAAAUCAGUUAUCGUUUAUUUGAUAGUACCUUACUACAUGGAUAACCGUGGUAAUUCUAGAGCUAAUACAUGCUAAAAAUCCCGACUUCGGAAGGGAUGUAUUUAUUAGAUUAAAAACCAAUGCCCUUCGGGGCUCUCUGGUGAUUCAUAAUAACUUCUCGAAUCGCACGGCCUUGCGCCGGCGAUGGUUCAUUCAAAUUUCUGCCCUAUCAACUUUCGACGGCUGGGUCUUGGCCAGCCAUGGUGACAACGGGUAACGGAGGGUUAGGGCUCGACCCCGGAGAAGGAGCCUGAGAAACGGCUACUACAUCCAAGGAAGGCAGCAGGCGCGCAAAUUACCCAAUCCCGACUCGGGGAGGUAGUGACAAUAAAUACUGAUACAGGGCUCUUUUGGGUCUUGUAAUUGGAAUGAGUACAAUUUAAAUCCCUUAACGAGGAACAAUUGGAGGGCAAGUCUGGUAAUCG
rnacentral:rRNA from 1 species